rnacentral:rRNA from 1 species
CAAUAGCGUAUAUUUAAGUUGUUGCAGUUAAAGAGCUCGUAGUUGGAUUUUGGGUCGGGGGCACCGGUCCGCCGUUCCGGUGUGCACUGGUGGCCCCUUCCUUUCUGCCGGGGACGUGCGUCGCACUUAAUUGGGUGGCGUUCGGAGUCGGCGUUGUUACUUUGAAAAAAUUAGAGUGUUCAAAGCAAGCCAUCGCUCUGAAUACAUUAGCAUGGAAUAACAUGAUAGGACUCCGGUCUUAUUUUGUUGGUUUCCGAGACUGGAGUAAUGAUUAAGAGGGACAGUCGGGGGCAUCCGUAUUUCAUUGUCAGAGGUGAAAUUCUUGGAUUUAUGAAAGACGAACUUCUGCGAAAGCAUUUGCCAAGGAUGUUUUCAUUAA